GGAGAGGUGGCAGAGCGGUUGAUUGCACCGGUCUUGAAAACCGGCGUCCUCGCAAGAGGACCGUGGGUUCGAAUCCCACCCUCUCCGCCA
rnacentral:tRNA from 1 species